GUGAUGAGCCCGCGGCCUAUCAGCUUGUUGGUGAGGUAGUGGCUCACCAAGGCGACGACGGGUAGCCGGCCUGAGAGGGCGACCGGCCACACUGGGACUGAGACACGGCCCAGACUCCUACGGGAGGCAGCAGUGGGGAAUAUUGCACAAUGGGCGAAAGCCUGAUGCAGCGACGCCGCGUGAGGGAUGACGGCCUUCGGGUUGUAAACCUCUUUCAGCAGGGAAGAAGCGAAAGUGACGGUACUGCAGAGAGGCAGUCU
rnacentral:rRNA from 1 species